ACCCCUGACCCGCCAGGCCCAAACCUUAUUCAACCCAAUACAUCCAAUUAAAACCAAUCAGCAACUCUAAUAUUAACCCAGCCAGCCCAAAACAAAACAACACCAACCCCCCAGGCCCAAAGAACGGCCGACCUGGCCCAAUCCCCACUUUCCUUCCUCCUUUAAUCACCAACGUCGACAACCAGUCCUCAAGCAGCUCCCAAACACUUUCAAACACCAACAAUCUUAAAUCCCACGAUCCAGUACCAAAAAAUCCAAAACCCGAUCAUCGCCGACCCGACCAGCUUCAACCCGACCUCAAUACGAUGCUCAAGUGUAUCACGCGCAUCCUGCGCGAGCCUGUACGAGAAAGCUCCCUAAUCUUCUAGAAAGAGGGUGAGGUGUCACCCCCAACGUUUCAAUUCCGCGAAUUUCGUGAUAAUGGAACGAAUCUAGUACGUAUUUGUCUAAUUUAUAUUGGUUGGGGGGAGAGAAUUCAUUUUGCUCAAAUGGUAUUGGUCCACCAUUUUAAUUUUGGGGGAGAAAAUCCAAAAAUUGGUAUGUUUGUUGAUGAAAUCUCGAACGAUGAAAUCUCGAAUUGGAGGGAGAAUCAGGAAUUUCAAAUUCCAAAUAUCCUACGGUUCAAGUCCCAAAAUGCCCCCGAAUUCUCUCAUCUAUAAAAGACCUCUUGGGUCACUGUUUUGAGGGGAUUUUUUUUCUCUUCUUUCCCUUCUGAGUUAUCUAGGAAUAGUUCUCCUAAAAGCAGAAAAGAGGGGGAUUGGAAAUUUAGGGGUUCAAAAGUGGGGGGUCGAUUUUGGUUCAAAGAUGUCUAAGAAAAUUUUGGGUUUCGGUAAAACUGAGAGGGCUCACAGUGAGCUGAAAGGGGGAGGUUCAAAAAUUUCAUAGAAAUUUUGGGGGGUCAAAAAUCCUGGGUUUUAAAAAUUAGGUGGGGAAAUCUGAAGGCUAGGAAUUCUCGGGUUGGGAAAUUCAAGAAAGGAAAUUUUGGUUCAAGAAAAUGAAAGAAAAAAAAAGAAAGAAAGAAAGAAGUUUUGAAGAAAAAUCAGGUCUUUAGUAGAGAUCCUGUUCUUUUUUUGACAGUUCAUUGACUAAAUUUGAGUUUCGAGUUGACGGUGAAGGAGUGUUCUGGUGGUCGUGAUUCUCCAUAGCUAGUUCAUCAUCUCGUUUUGCUGCUCAACGUUCGUAUUCAACUAUGGUGGAAGCCAUGGCGUGAAUGUAGUAAGUAAAGAUGACUGACAAUUUCAACACUAGAAAUGCUCUCCAAGCUUACACUGGUGGCCAGAAUAGUAUCCCCCUUUCAAGUGUUGGUGACAUGUACUUCGUCUGACCUACACUUAAUCACUGUGACACUGGCAUGAAAUUGGCCAUUAAAGUUCAAGGAAGUUCAUCUGACGCAACACCAGCAACUCCCUCUGGCAACAAGUCCACGCCACAUAUGGUGCCUCUGGAACUUUUGACAGAGUGAGCAAAGUGGUUGUUGCAUUUUUAGUUGUGUUGGGUGCCUUGUUUGCAUUCAUGGGCUACGGGAGACGCAAUGUUGUAUAUGAAUUCUAUUUCCUUUUUUAUGUUCUAUUUCAUUUGUAUUCAUUAAUUUUACUGUUUAUUUUCUCUGUUAUUUGUUCAUGAGGGAUAAUACUCUGUUCAUAUUAUUUCAAGGAAUAAAUCACUUCUUUCUUGUUAA